UCGAGAAUUUUUCUCAAUGGGGGAAACCCUGAAGGAGCGACGCCGCGUGGGGGAUGAAUGGCUUCGGCCCGUAAACCCCUGUCAUUUGCGAACAAACCUUUUCACUUAACACGUGAAAAGCUGAUAGUAGCGAAAGAGGAAGGGACGGCUAACUCUGUGCCAGCAGCCGCGGUAAUACAGAGGUCCCAAGCGUUGUUCGGAUUCACUGGGCGUAAAGGGUGCGUAGGUGGUGAGGCAAGUUCGAUGUGAAAUCUCCGGGCUUAACCCGGAAAUGGCAUUGAAGACUGCCCCGCUCGAGGGUCGGAGGGGAGACUGGAAUUCUCGGUGUAGCAGUGAAAUGCGUAGAUAUCGAGAGGAACACCAGUGGCGAAGGCGAGUCUCUGGACGACACCUGACACUGAGGCACGAAAGCUAGGGGAGCAAACAGGAUUAGAUACCCGUGUAGUCC
rnacentral:rRNA from 1 species